rnacentral:rRNA from 1 species
UACGGGGGGGGGCAAGCGUUGUUCGGAAUUACUGGGCGUAAAGGGCUCGUAGGCGGCCAACUAAGUCAGACGUGAAAUCCCUCGGCUUAACCGUGGAACUGCUGGGUAUACUGGCGAUCUUGAGGUGCUCAGGGGCGAGCGGAACAGAUGGUGGAGCGGUGAAAUGCGUAGAUAUCAUCUGGAACGCCUGCGGUGAAAACGGCUCGCUGGGAGCAAUCUGACGCUGAGAACACGAAAGCCAGGGGAGCGAACGGG